AUGGCACCCACAGCCCCACGGGCACCCAUGCUCCGUGCCCUUCAGCAUCGCACAGCUGGGCAGGAUGAGGCCGCCGGGUGCUCCCGGGGUCACCAAGCGGCACCCGCCCCUACCUGGGUGUCCCCAUGGCCCCAUCCCCGGCCACCCAAACCCGGUGAGCUCGGUGGGGUGGGAGGUGGCAGGAGGGGACACGGAGGGCACCGGCAAUGCGCCCAGCUGUGCGCGUACUGGGCAGAGUGGGAGGCUACUGGUGGGGCUCGGGGGCCACCUGCUGGGCAGAAGGGACAGCGCCACCCCCAGCUGUCCCUAAAAGCCCCCUGCCGGGGGAGGGACACACAAAGGGGGGGCACAAAGGGCUGUGCCCCCUGCCCUGCUCCCUCCCCAGGGCAGGGCACGGAGCCCGCAGGGCUGGUGGUGGCCCCAGGAGGUGGCACUGGGACGGGGUGUCACACCCCCCUCCCCAGCACCCAGUGUCACCCGAGGGUGCCAGGCCGGGUGCUGGCAGCAGGUGGCACCCAGCCACCAGCCGGGAGGGUUUGGGGAGGUUUUGGGGGAACCGAGGGGAGGGUUCCCAGCCCCAAAAUUCGGGGCUGCGGCAAGGAGAGCAAGGAUGGGGGCGAGCCACUUGCAGGACCCUGGCGCAAAGGUGGGCUGUUGUCCCCGUCCCUGUCCCGCCCCCCCAAAAUGUCACCUCUGGGGACCCCAAAUCCCACGGGCGUUAAUUACCCCGCAGCCCAGCCCCCAGAAGUGGCGUGCGCUCAGCACCCAGUGCAGCACGGCCCCGUUUUUGGGUGUCCCCCCCCCAACAUCACACAGCACUUUCAAGGUGAUGGCACUCUUCCAGGGGCCGAAUCCAGCCCUGGCGCUGAACACGGUCACCGGGAUGCUCGGAAGCAGGCAGCCAAGGAGGAGGGGGCUCUCCCAGUAUCCCCAGUAAGGCACUGGGUGAGCCCUGAGCUCGGCUUCCACCUCCAGCCCGAAGCUGGCCGCGGGGGGCCACAUGCGCGCAGCCCCCCCCCCGGGACACAGCCCCAAGGGCCCGGGACCCUUCCUGCGAGAACCGAGCUGUCGGGGCUCAAGCACCAGGCGGGCUCCGAGGUAUAG
rnacentral:lncRNA from 1 species